rnacentral:rRNA from 1 species
CCGAGUGGCGAUAGCACAUUCAAUGCACCCGAUCCCCAUAGAUCACUGAAGUGUUUGAACUAUGAAGUUAAUCAACGUUGCGUGUGGUUAGAAUCCGGAUGAGUGACCCUCUGUGCAAUUACGUGCUGCUGGCU